AUUUUUAGAAAUUAAAUUCAACCGUUAAUUCUAAUUUUACUACUUAUAUAUACUUCUUCUAAAAUGAUGAUUCUUCGCAUUAUCUUACUGUUCACUAGAUUUUGAACAUCAUGAAAAAGUAUUACAUAAAGAAUAACGACCAACCUGAUUCUUCCUCCUCCUCCACCUCCUCCUCGGCCAUCAGGAUUUAUGUGACAUACGGCGAGUGCCAAAGGAACCAAGCCGAGUGGCUCGGAGGACACG